CGGGCGGUGGGGUCGGGCCCACGCAGCGGCGGGACGGGAGGAGCUGCAGGGCCCGCAGGGAGCGGCUGAGGCGGCGGCUCCUCCUCUCCAGCCAUGGCUGUUAAGGACCCUACAGCCGUAGAAAGAGCAAAUUUACUGAACAUGGCUAAAUUGAGUAUCAAAGGACUCAUUGAAUCAGCUUUGAGCUUUGGCCGCACUCUGGAUUCUGACUACCCACCUUUGCAGCAGUUCUUUGUUGUCAUGGAGCACUGCCUGAAGCAUGGCCUUAAAGUAAGAAAAUCCUUUCUAAGUUACAAUAAAACCAUCUGGGGUCCUCUGGAACUUGUGGAGAAAUUAUAUCCAGAAGCUGAGGAAAUAGCAGCAAGUGUCAGAGAUUUGCCUGGCCUUAAAACACCACUGGGCCGUGCCCGGGCCUGGUUACGGUUAGCACUAAUGCAGAAGAAAAUGGCCGACUAUCUUCGCUGUUUAAUCAUUCAGAGAGAUCUUCUCAGUGAAUUUUAUGAGUACCAUGCACUAAUGAUGGAGGAAGAAGGAGCAGUUAUUGUUGGGCUAUUAGUUGGGUUAAACGUGAUAGAUGCUAACCUGUGUGUGAAGGGAGAAGACCUAGAUUCACAAGUUGGGGUGAUCGAUUUCUCUAUGUAUUUAAAGAGUGAUGAUGACAUUGGAGGUAAAGAAAGAAAUGUACAGAUUGCUGCAAUUUUGGACCAAAAGAAUUAUGUUGAAGAACUAAACAGACAACUGAAUAGCACAGUUAGCAGUCUACAUGCAAGAGUUGAUUCACUGGAGAAAUCAAACACUAAACUGAUCGAAGAGUUAGCGAUAGCCAAAAACAAUAUAAUCAAACUUCAGGAAGAAAACCAUCAACUAAGGAGUGAAAAUACCCUCAUUUUAAUGAAAACACAGCAUCAUCUAGAGGCAACUAAAGUGGAUGUUGAAGCAGAACUUCAGACGUACAAACAUUCCAGGCAGGGUUUAGAUGAAAUGUACAAUGAAGCGCGUAGACAGCUUCGAGAAGAGUCACAGCUUCGACAAGAUAUGGAGAAUGAGCUAGUGGUUCAAGUUAGUAUGAAACAUGAGAUAGAACUUGCCAUGAAGUUGCUGGAGAAGGACAUCCAUGAGAAACAGGAUACCCUCAUAGGCCUUCGACAGCAGCUUGAUGAAGUUAAAGCAAUUAACAUGGAAAUGUACCAAAAGCUGCAGGUUUCUGAGGAUGCUAUGAAAGAAAAGAAUGAAAUAAUUGGUCGAUUAGAGGAUAAGACCAACCAAAUUAAUGCAACUAUGAAACAACUAGAACAAAGUGACAAAGAUCUGUUAACUCAAACCAGGACUAUUGCAAUGUCAUUCAUCAAAUGUGCCAGCAGUGAAGCUCAGCACCAGUAUAAACUUGUCAAAGAUAUAUCAUUCUGAAAGCUCCUCCAGAUCUGUUGUGUUUAAAUAAUUACCGAUAAAACACACCUUAAGAAUUUUAAAGUUACAAUUUUAAAUAUAAAGUGAUAUUAGAAAUCCUGCACUGUAACUGAUCGUAGCUGGGUUCUAUUUUGUUUUCUGAAAGAACAUCAUCUCCGAUCUCACUUUACCCCUCUUUAAAAAAAAAAAAGUUAAAAAAGUAAACUAUUGCACUAUUAUUAAGCAAAUGUAAGCUAGUUUUCUAAUGCUAUUUAAUCACUUCUUAAUUGUCAAACAAAGUUUAUUUUAAAAGGUUAGCUAUCUUUACUUUGACUGUAUGUUUUAUGACGUUUCUAAUCUAGUGAUUUUUCCUAUUCUUUAUGGUACUAAUAGAUUUAAAAAGUAGCCCUUCUGAUUAGUAUUUCCCUUCUUCCCUGCUUAUUUUUUUCACUUUUAGGCUGUAUUUAUCCCAAAAGCAUGCUCUCUGUUGGGUUUUUUGGUUGUAACUAGCACUGUUUUCUUAAACAGUGUGACAGCAGUUUGGGUGAAGGGGGGUUGAGUGCUAUAUCAGAACAAUGUACUUAAAAAAAGAGGGUGGUGUCAACAUAUAUGUUCAGUAUGUACGGUGGAAGAAUUACAGGGGAUAAAACAGCUAAAGCACAAUUUCUUUUUAGUGAUGUGACGUGGGGUAAAAUAUUUUCACGGAGUUAAAAUGUGUUUGGAGCCUGGACUUGGAUGGGGCUCCAGACAGGGAGGGCAGUGCGCUCUAGCAAAUUUUGUAGCUGUGACUCCUGCCUAGAGCAGCUGCACUAUGAUAGCUACAGUGGAAGCUGUAGUAAUAAAUAGGAUUUACAUUCAGGGCCCAGAUCCUGAACUUGUCUAACUUGUUUGUCAGCUAAGGCUUUUGCCUGUCUGUGGCUGUGUCUGCACUGUAAACAUAACCUGUGGUUUUGCCCAACCCCUUUUCCCUCCCUCCACCAUCAUUAGGCAGUCUUUACAACUCCUAUUUCUGCUUGUUUGCACUGCAGAAAUAAGAGAGUUUUAGCUGCUGACUGCCCUUGAUGCACUGUUUGCUCUGAAGUGUGGAGGGGGAGUUAACUGGGAAAAGAACCUUAGAGUCUUUCAGCAGAAAGGGAUGUGAUUGCAAAAGUGGGGGCAGGACGCAAUAAUGCAGAAAGGCCUUCUACUCCAUGACUAUAUAUUACCUUAUUCCUUGGUUUGGAAUCAGAAAGAGCCUUUAACAUGGGCUGGCUACUAAAAAAAUAAAAAUAAAUAAAUACCUCCCAUCCUCAAAGAAAACCAAACCAGAAACACUGAAUAGAACAACAGGUAGACCAUAGCAGAAAUGGGGGUGUUAACCAUCUCAUGGUCAUCUAUGCAAACAAGUAUCUGCCUCAGUAUCACCAGAAUCGCAAAUCCCGCUGCAAACUCGGUCCAGCUCAGCACUUGUCUGAAUUACAGUGGGGCAGUUAGCCUUGGUGCUGGUCUAGAGGAUGGUGCUGUAGCUUGGGUUGGCUAGCUCCCUUUCUGCCUUGGUUGUGGAAACUACACUGCAGUUUAAUUUUGUGAUUUAGGGGUUUAACUUGCUUUUGGUGUUACUGUCUUGUGUAGCUGCUUCUGCCCAGUGAAUUGACCCUGCUUUUUCCCAGUAUUCUCCUUUCCAUACGUGUUUUGGCCCUCUGUGCACUACCAUUGCGAACGUGACUGGGAACAUUGUUAAAACAACUAGUAUAGUUGAAUGAGAAAGUACACGCUUUAUAAGGUAGUUUAAUUCCAGUCUUCACUUGUUCACUGGCAGCUUGUGGAAAGUCCUGCUGGUGCAACUUCAUCAGUAGAAGCACAAAUGUAGACAUAUUGGCUGACUUAAUUUCUUUUUAGCCGAUACUAGGAGUUGUGAGUUACUCUGCAUUCAGCUAGCUGCUGGGAAGUGAGAAAUCAAGCACAGAGAGAGUAUCAGAGAUUUCUCCCACCACUUACCUGAGAGGCCCUUGAAACACUUUUGUUAAAACCGACGCAGGAGGUAGGGACAUUCAAUGGUAUUUUACAGGCUCUUUUACUCUCCUGCCUUUUCAUUGAGACAGGUGUAGUCAUGAUACAGCACAAGUUCCAUUUUAGUACCUUUACCUUGGUUACAUUACAUCCAUCUUUUUUUGGACUGAAGAGGUGACCAAGCAGAGCGGAACCACAGUGAACUACUGGAUUCCAAGGGAAGUGCUAGCUGAAGCAGAAACAAACCCCUGGAAUUCAGAAAGGAAAGAUUAAAUUAAAAAAACCCACAAUCCCUCACUUCUUGAUUAAUCAGUUUAUUUUGUCUAUAGUAUGGAGCUAUUUUAACCAGUGUAAGAAUGCAUUAUUUUUAAUACAGAUUAUUUAAAUUAAUUUACUAAUAUGAUGUAGUUGAGGUAGUUCUAUAAAUGUAGUGGGAGUUGUCAGGGUGUGUCUUGUAUUAGGCUAAUUAAGUGGGUUUUUUGCUGAUUGCAGUGCUCUGUAUUCAGCCUUAUGCCUGAAUUGUUUUGAGCUGCUUUUGCACAACACAUGCUCUGCCCUUUCUUAAUGGGUGAUUAGUACAAGCCAAGUACUUUUACAGGAUUUAUCUGGUGGGGGGAAAAAAGCUUCCAAAAAUAACACAUGAACAUAUGCUAAAGGAAAAAAAAAAGCAUUAAGGUAUAUGCUUCAAUUCUAAAAUAUGUAUCAUCAUGCUUUGGCAUCUGUUAUUAAUGAGCAUAAAAUAAAACAGUGAUUACUUACAGUGAUUACUCUCUUACUGUAUGAAAAAACAGGAGCUCGUUCUCUAGGCAUUGUAUGGAUUUCUCGUUUGAGUUUGUGAGUUUCCCCCAAACUUUGUUUUUAUUUAGAAAUGUUUCUAUUUCCCCAUUUUUCUUUUAUUUGUCUUCUUCACCCUCUACACCCUAGUUCUAGCUUCAGUUUUACCCAAAGUUGAUUUGAAUUACACCAGAUUGCAGCAAGCAGAGAAGGCUCAAAUGGAGGCUGAGGCCGAGGACGAGAAACUUAAACAGGAAUAUGUGAAUAAAUCUGAAAGUCUGCAGAAAGAAUUCUCCCAGAAGGAGAAACAACUGCUUCAGCUGGAAACAGAUUUGAAGA